rnacentral:rRNA from 1 species
CGACGGGUGAGUAACACGUAUCCAACCUGCCGUCUACUCUUGGACAGCCUUCUGAAAGGAAAGAUUAAAUACAAGAUGGCAUCAUGAGUCCGCAUGUUCACAUGAUUAAAGGUAUUCCGGUAGACGAUGGGGAUGCGUUCCAUUAGAUAGUAGGCGGGGUAACGGCCCACCUAGUCUUCGAUGGAUAGGGGUUCUGAGAGGAAGGUCCCCCACAUUGGAACUGAGACACGGUCCAA